rnacentral:misc_RNA from 1 species
GCAACAUCAAGAGAGACAGCUUUCAAAGAAACAAAUACAAGACAACACUGCCAGAAGCUUAUAUUCAAUAGAGUAAAAGGAAACAAAAGUAUCAAUGUCAUAAAAAAGCAUGUUAUGGUAAUGUCUUUCAGUUUCAAAUUGUCAUAUUUGGCAAUCAUCUUAUGUGGUUUUUGCCCUUUUCUCAGAACAAAUUCUUUUUAAAGUACAUUUUCAGUGCAUUAAUAAAAUCAUAUGUGCUUCUAUUUACAACUUUGCAUCUUAUUUGGCUGACUUUUUAGCUACUAAGAUAUUUCAUAAAUUGUAACGUAAAGAAGCAAAAAAAGUAACUAUGCAACAUUAAAUUUGAAUAAAAAAAAUGUGCCUAAGUGCCCGCAUUCAUAGCAAGAUAAUCUCCAUAAUGAUCUAAUUAAGUAAGCAAUCCUCGUU